UUAUGGCUCAGGAUGAACGCUAGCGGCAGGCUUAACACAUGCAAGUCGAGGGGCAUCGGGAGUAGCAAUACUUGCCGGCGACCGGCGCAAGGGUGCGUAACGCGUGAGCAACAUGCCCGUAUCAGGGGGAUAAUCCAUGGAAACGUGGUCUAAUACCCCAUAGUAAUUAUGUAAGGCAUCUUAUAUAAUUUAAAGCUUUGGUGGAUACGGAUUGGCUCGCGUGACAUUAGCUGGAUGGUAAGGUAACGGCUUACCAUGGCUACGAUGUCUAGGGGUUCUGAGAGGAAGGUCCCCCACACUGGAACUGAGACACGGUCCAGACUCCUACGGGAGGCAGCAGUGAGGAAUAUUGGACAAUGGAUGGAAAUCUGAUCCAGCCAUGCCGCGUGCAGGGAAAAGACGGCCCUAUGGGUUGUAAACUGCUUUUGUAUGGGAGCAAUAAGGGCUACGUGUAGUCCGAUGAGAGUACCAUACGAAUAAGCACCGGCUAACUCCGUGCCAGCAGCGGC
rnacentral:rRNA from 1 species